rnacentral:lncRNA from 10 species
GGCUGGGUGCAGUGGCUCACGCCUAUAAUCCCAGCACUUUGGGAGGCUGAGGUGGGUGGAUAGCUUGAGGUUGGGAGCUCGAGACCAGCCUGGCCCACAUGGUGAAACCCCAUUUUUACACUACACUACAUUUUUAGUGUAGAUCCCAAAUAUUUAGCGUAAGUAUGGUUUGUGUAAUAUUUAGGAUGCUCAUAUUUUAAAACGGUGAUACUGGAAUGCUUCUCCCCACCGUCAUGAAGCUGGCACUUUCUUACCAGCUGGGACUUGGGUCCAACGGGGUCUUUUCUGACCAUGUUGUGUAACGCUCACAACCUCCCUCAGUGGAGUCAUCGCUGGCUUAUCACCUGGUUUCAUUUUCAUCCAGCACUUAUCGCUAUCCAAAACCAUCUUCUUUCUUAUGUACAUAUUUGUUUAUUUUUCUGUAAACUUGCAUAGAGAAGUACCUAUUUA